UACAGAGGGGGCAAGCGUUGUUCGGAAUUACUGGGCGUAAAGGGCGCGUAGGCGGCCCGCUAAGUCGAACGUGAAAUCCCCAGGCUCAACCUGGGAACUGCGUCCGAUACUGGCAGGCUUGAAUCCGGGAGAGGGAUGUGGAAUUCCAGGUGUAGCGGUGAAAUGCGUAGAUAUCUGGAGGAACACCGGUGGCGAAGGCGGCAUCCUGGACCGGUAUUGACGCUGAGGCGCGAAAAGCUAGGGGAGCAAACGGG
rnacentral:rRNA from 1 species